AGCAGCCGCGGUAAUUCCAGCUCCAAUAGCGUAUAUUAAAGUUGUUGCAGUUAAAAAGCUCGUAGUUGAAUUUCGGGGUCAGUAGGUUGGUCGUGCCUAUGGUAUGUACUGGCUUUACUGAUUCCUCCUUCUUGAAGAACUGUAAUGUCAUUAAUUUGGUGUUGCAGGGAAACAGGACUGUUACUUUGAAAAAAUUAGAGUGUUUAAAGCAGGCUAACGCUUGAAUACAUUAGCAUGGAAUAAUGAAAUAGGACGUUCGAUCCUAUUUUGUUGGUUUCUAGGAUUGACGUAAUGAUUAAUAGGGAUAGUUGGGGGCAUUAGUAUUCAAUUGUCAGAGGUGAAAUUCUUGGAUUUAUUGAAGACUGACUACUGCGAAAGCAUUUGCCAAGGAUGUUUUCAUUAAUCAAGAACGAAAGUUAGGGGAUCGAAGACGAUCAGAUACCGUCGUAGUCUUAACCAUAAACUAUGCCGACUAGGGAUCGGAUGAUGUUAAUUUUUUAAUGACUCA
rnacentral:rRNA from 1 species